ACAGAGGAGACAGGUGGUGCAUGGUUGUCGUCAGCUCGUGUCGUGAGAUGUUGGGUUAAGUCCCGCAACGAGCGCAACCCUUACCUUCAGUAGCCAGCGAGUAAAGUCGGGCACUCUGGAGGGACUGCCAGGGAUAACCUGGAGGAAGGUGGGGAUGACGUCAAAUCAUCAUGCCCCUUAUGAUUUGGGCUACACACGUGCUACAAUGGCGUAAACAAAGGGAAGCGAAGCCGUGAGGUGAAGCAAAUCCCAAAAAUAACGUCUCAGUUCGGAUUGUAGUCUGCAACUCGACUACAUGAAGCUGGAAUCGCUAGUAAUCGCGAAUCAGAAUGUCGCGGUGAAUACGUUCCCGGGUCUUGUACACACCGCCCGUCACACCAUGGGAGUUGGUAACGCCCGAAGUCAGUGACUCAACCGAAAGGGGAGAGCUGCCGAAGGCGGGACUGAUAACUGGGGUGAAGUCGUAACAGGGUAGCCGUAUCGGAAGGUGCGGCUGGAUCACCUCCUU
rnacentral:rRNA from 1 species